UAUGAAUUAGUUGUUUGGUAUCCUAGAUUAAAAUCUAGAUUAAAUAAGUAAAUUACAAUUAUAUCCUUUUACAAAUUUAAAUAUCUUUAUAAAUUUAAAUAAGUAAAAAUUGAAAACAUUUAAAAACAAUCGGUCAACACCCACCACCCCUUCACCAUUUUCUCUCUCCACCCCCAUUUCACAAUUUUUCUCACCAUCCCAUUGUCGCUCUUCACAUUUUUCUUUCUCUGAUUUCUGAUUUUUUAGCUCAAUAUUUCUUUACAUUCUCUCCCAAAUCUUGAUCCCACAAAAACCCAAACACCUCCCUCCAAUUAUCGCUGAUCCCACCAAAAACCAUAAUUCUUUAACGCGAUUUCUUCAACCAAUUUUUCUUACAAAAUCCACUCAUUUGUAAAAAUCGGUUCUUGAGAAAAAACUGUGUCAAUGCCGGCGAAAUUCUUCCCACUGAGAUGGGAGAGCACCGGCGAUAGGUUUGGCUGCGCAUUCGAAACAUGUGCCAAAUUGGGAUUGAAUUGAAGCAGAUCUGAUCUGCGUCGGUCUGAGAUUUUGGGGUAUUGUUUUUGAGUUUCAGUCGCCGGGAGUUUCUUCUGCAAAGCUUGCCAGAUUGUCGGCUGGACAUAGUAGAAAUGGGCAGCUGAAUUUCUUGCGUGAAUUUUGAAGGAAAAAUCAGAGGGCAAUUAAGGCAGAAUUUAGCUUUUGAUAAUUGCUAGCAACGGUAUCGGAGGGGGGGCAUCGGUUGGGUAAUAUAGAUGGAACAGUAAAAAGUCACCGGGCCAAGCCUUUUUCCCGGGCUUCGUGGGAUGUGUAUCCGGACACCAAACACCCGUAUAAGUCCGUUUACCUUUGCUAAUACGGCUUUAACCAAUGCACCAAACACACCC
rnacentral:lncRNA from 1 species